AUUGAACGCUGGCGGCAUGCCUUACACAUGCAAGUCGAACGGUAACGGGCCUUCGGGUGCCGACGAGUGGCGAACGGGUGAGUAAUGUAUCGGAACGUACCAUUGAGUGGGGGAUAACGUAGCGAAAGUUACGCUAAUACCGCAUAUUCUCUCCGGAGGAAAGCAGGGGACCGCAAGGCCUUGCGCUCUUUGAGCGGCCGAUAUCAGAUUAGCUAGUUGGUGGGGUAAAAGCUCACCAAGGCGACGAUCUGUAGCGGGUCUGAGAGGAUGAUCCGCCACACUGGAACUGAGACACGGUCCAGACUCCUACGGGAGGCAGCAGUGGGGAAUUUUGGACAAUGGGGGCAACCCUGAUCCAGCCAUGCCGCGUGAGUGAAGAAGGCCUUCGGGUUGUAAAGCUCUUUCAGCCGGGAAGAAAUCGCAUGGGCUAAUACCCCGUGCGGAUGACGGUACCGGAAUAAGAAGCACCGGCUAACUACGUGCCAGCCGCCGCGGUAA
rnacentral:rRNA from 1 species